rfam:Myotis brandtii contig197586, whole genome shotgun sequence.
GGCAGUUCUCGGGUGACACACCCCGGAAUCAGGCUCCCUCCUCUCUGGUUCCAGCUGCAUAACCCCAGAACCGCA